rnacentral:rRNA from 1 species
AUGCCUCGCACGAAGCAGGUAAUGAAGCUGGUCGACAACGGCAAGAAGCGGGAUCUGACGUACAGGACCCGCCUGGGCAGCCUCGUCAAAAAGGUCUCGGAGCUCUCCACGCUCUGCGGCAUCGACGUCUUCCUCCUCUGCGUCAAGCCCGGCCCGGCCGGCGGCGAGGUCACGGCCUGGCCGGAGGACCGCGACGCCCUGCGGGAGCUGGUCCCGCGCUUCCGCGGGACUCCCCCGGAGAGGGUCAAGGAGAACCUCAACGCCGCCACCUACCUCCAGGGCGAGCUGGCCAAGGGCCAGCGCAAGCUGGUCAAGGCCAGGCACUGCCGGCUGGACGACGUGCUCACGCAGUGGGACCGCCACCUCGACGACCUCCCCGUCCACGACCUCAACGAGCUGUACCGGACGCUGGGCGAGACGCUGCAGAGGGCACAGCGCCGGAUCGCCGAGCUCGGCGUGACGUCGUCCGCGCUCGGGGUGGUGACCGCGCCCGAGCAGCAGCAUGGCCCGGCGUUCCCUGGCAACGCCUUCGACUUCGGCUUCGGCUGCUUGUCCUCGGGCGCCACCCCCUCCGUGGCCCUACCCCUACUAGGAGCGCAGGACUACCACUACCUUCCCCGAGACAUCCCGCCGCCGCCGCCGCUCUCUGUCCAGCCGCCCUACCUCGGCUUCCACAUGCUGCCGUCGGGCAUCGCCUUUGGGUCCCCGCUGCCGCUGCCCCUUCAGAUGUCGGCGCCGUCGGGUUUCAGCUUUACCAGCGCAGCAGGCAUGAGCAUGACGAUGGACCGCCUGCAUUACGACGCCAACGCCGUCGUCAAUGGGGGCACGGCGGCAACCGGUGCGGCGUUUUAUGAUGAUUUUGGCAGCAGGCAGGGGCAGGGUUUUGGUACUGGUGCGGCAUACCACCACCAGGAUCUACUUGGGUAUGGCUGCUUUGACGCCGGCUACGAUGUUGAGCCCCGGGCUGCUGCCGGGGUUUGGCCGCUGGCUACUCCGAAUAAUAAUCAAGUGGUGGACGCUGCCGCCUACCAGCUGCAGAAUGAUCCAUCUGCGUUAUGGUCGGAGAAUGGCGCCGGUCACCUUGCCCUGCAGGGCGGACAAGAAGAGCGGGGUCGGCUGCGGCGGUUUCACCGGAGGGUGUAG